ensembl:lncRNA
CAAAUAAUGAAGUGUUAAAUACACCAAAAUUAACAGUCUAUAAAUGGCCUAAUAGUAAUAGAUAACAAUAGCCUUGGAAGUAUUCCUCUUGACCCUAAAACUCAAAUGACAGACAGACAGAGUGCACCAGUUUCAAGGCUUACCUCAGGAUGAUCGUGAAGGAAUCCUGACGGAAUGCGUCUUGUCCGCGACUCAGCACAGUCAUUCAACGCUAGGACAUCCUGGACAUCCGGAGAGUUGUUGUCAUGUGUUAAUACAUUAACACUUUACGUUGCACCCCACCGCGACACGUUGGAGCUUUCCUCUGUGCAGCGUCAGAUCGCCCUGGUAGGCUAAAACUCUCAAAGCAUCACUGUCUGAGCCGUUCGUCUCGGAUAACUUAAAUGUCUUAUUUGUCUACAUCUUGAUCCUGUCGUCUCUUCUUCACAUUCGAUGUAAAAUCACGCGGGAGUCAGAGGAGAAACGUGAAGAUGGAAAAAACGGAGAAAAAGUAACUGUAAACCGCAACGUCUGUAGCCGCUUGUGCGGUUGGGCACUUCGGACUGAACAGCUUAUACCGCAGGAGAAAGUAUUAUUCUGCCAUUCAGGGGGGAGAUACAUUAAGGGGCAAUAAGCGAACCCUUACCAUUUUCAGACAUUACCGCAUCAGCAGAAAUGUCCUGUUACGAGUAGCCUAGACAAGAUGACGGGCAUUCUGGGAUGUGUUUUACCUCGAGCCGGUACACUGUUGAGAGGAGAUGGAGACUGGAGUUGUUCAUACUCUCCUCUCAGCUCAAUUCUGUGAGUGGCCACUGACCGGAAAGAGCGGUUGCGGUACAGACCAUUUCAGCAGGAGUGCCUGUUUCAGCACCAUGGACAGCGGUCUCGAGCAGCGCGUCUCCGAACAGAGCGCGCUCGACCAUUAUCCUGACCACCUACCCCCUGCCCUUCCUAGUGCAUGGCGCAAUAUUAUGUUGUUGUUACUGUCAAUCUAAUCGAUAGGACAAUUGAAAACAGGCAUGUUACUGAUUUAAGAUAUAUCUGUUUCAAGUUGCAGUGAGUUCAUUUAAUUAACUUUUUUUAGAAGGCCUGCAUUAGUGAAUGUUAGGAGGUGUCUGAUCAUUAAUAAGCCAAUAACUAACUCUUUCGCGUCACCCUCGAUGAUUUUAUGAAAUUGUCUUUUGAUAUGUGUAUUUUUUAAAAUUGAUCUAAUUAACAUACCAAAUUCGAAAAAUAUCUAGGUUCAUAACUUUUGGAUCUUAUGGAUGUAAUAAACCGAAUAAACAAAAAAUAUAUGAUAAUUUACAAAGCAUGAUUAAUUGCACAUACUGUAGAAGUAGGCCUAUAGGCAUAAAUACACCAAUGGCCAUGUGCCAAUGUAGCCAGCAGAUUAAGCUAAUUGUAUGAAUAUCCCACAACUCAAUAUUUAUUACCACACAUUGUAAUUUCAUCACAUCUGUGUAGCUUUAUCGAUAUAUCCAUUAGGAACGAGUCUGGGAUUAAUGCUACAACUCAAAUAGUGUUCUGUAGGCCUAGCAUUAAAAUGUAAAAUUCGUUUUGUGAGUUAGGCCACCUAUUUCAUUCGAAAUUACAAUUGCAAAUCAACAAUCUUAUUUUUUAAGACUUUACAGUCAACCGAGCACUCAGCAAUAGGGAAGGCAGCUAUGGACAUGAUCUAUUGACAAUCCAUUGAUAGACAUUAAGGAAAACAUCAAUUGUAGUGAGCUCGAAUAUCAUUAAUAAGAAAUGAACCGUAUUCCCAACCCUCCCUCUCUGCACAACACAUCUCCAUGACACUCUCUCCGUGAUAUUACCAUUACCUAAUCACUGACAUAGUAUUACAUGAUCAGACAUAUGUAUAACACAUUGUAUUACAGCUUAUCUUGUGGUUGUUAUGAAGCACAAAGCACACAUCUGACAACAGCAUUACUGUAUGUGACAUAUGAGGAUGGAACUGGGAGGGAUCAAGCCCACUCCCUGUAAAGCUCAGCUGUCUAGGUACCAUUAUGCAUAACACUCUAAAUCCAUUAGUAAUGUUACAGAGAGGGAAGCCAGGUGUUUUUUUUUACACUAUUCUCUUUUCUCUGGCUCUCUCUCUCAAUUCAAUUCAAUGGGAUUUAUUAGCAAGGUGUACAUAUGUUUGUUGACAUUGCCAAAGUAAGUCAAAUAGAUAAUAAACAAAAGUGAAAAUAAACAAUAUUUAAAUGAACAGUAAACGUUAGACUCAGAAAAGUUUGAAAGGAAUAGAGACAUUUCAAAUGUCAUAUUAUGUAUAUAUACAGCGUUGUAACGAUGUGCAAAUGUUUGAAGUACAAAAGUGAAAAAAAUAAACAUAAAUAUGGGUUGUAUUUACAAUGGUGUUUGUUCUUCACUGGUUGCCCUUUUCUUGUGGCAACAGGUCACAAAUCUUGCUGCUGUGAUGGCACACUGUGGUGUUUCACCCAAAAGAUGUGG